CAACUUUUAGGUUUUUAGUUUUUGCUUUUGUGUGGAGUUGAGUCCAAUUUUUAAGGCAACUAUUGUUGACCUUUCUCUAGGCGGUAGCAUUUAGGAUGGGAAAAAAUAAUAUGAGUUAUGUGCGAAAAGCAGUUUUCAGGCUAUCAUUUAGGGCCACAGAUAUGCUUAUUUAGGACUAUUUUCAGGGUAGGAGCCAGUUAAAGUUUGUAUAUCAGUCACACAUUGAUAUGUAGCAGCUCUAUCAAUACCACAACAACCUUAUUACCAUAGUAAUUCAGGGGUCUCAAGUAAUCCAGGAGUCUCAAACUGAAAUGUCAACAAGAGCCAAGUAAAUAUUUUAGAAAUAGAGUACCCUGGAGUAGAUGGGCUCUGAGAGGAGCCUGUGAAAUCCAGACUUCAUGUGAAUUCUCUUAAUUAAAUGUGGGCCAAAGAAAACCCGGCCAUGGGCAGUUUUUUUUUCCCAGCUUCUACUAGUCUUGGCUUGCAACAAUGCCACUGUCCAUCUGGCAUUACCUAGACCAGUGAUACUUAAACUUGACUGCGAAUUGGAAUCACUGAGAAGCUUUAAAAAAUAUUAGUGCCUGAGUGUUACUUUAUGGAGAUUAUGAUUUAAUUGCUUUGGGUAGGCAUCAGUAAUUUUUGUAAAGCCCUUUACGCAUUCUCACCCCUAAUUCCAGCCGGUGAUUCUCACAUGCAGACUAGGUUGAGAUCCUUGAUCUAGACUGCCUUCUAUAGUUGCAAAAAGAGAAUAUAGGCGAGCAACUCCAGAUCAUAAGGGACAAAAUGAUUCAAGGCAAAUUGACUGGCUCAGAAUAGGGCCUCACUGGAGGCCCUAGUUGAGUGGGUUUUGUGGAAUGGUGCCUCCCAAGGGUCUGGUGUGCAGUGCCCAAUUUGGUUUUUUGUUGGUUUUCUGGUAAGUGGUCCACCUUGGAGAAAAUCACAAAACUAAAAGUCUUACCAAGAAGUAGAACUGACAAGCAGCCAUGUUGAUUGGCAGUACAUUCUCUUACCAAGGGGGAGAAAUCUAUCUAGGGAAAAUAAUACAGAGUCUGAGCAAAGGAAGUUGAGUGGUUAUAAGCAAAACUGUCAUUAAAGCUAGUUGCGUCAAGUCUGCACAAUUCCACGAGCACUUAAGAGUUUACAAGUUUCU
rnacentral:lncRNA from 1 species